UAUUUUAUCAUGAAUGAUCCUGAAAAGGAUAUGCAUAUGCGAGUUAACUUUUUUUUUUUAUGCAUUAUAUUUUUUUUUUUGGAAAAUAAACAUGCUAUGAUGCAAAUGAUGGAGCCAAGACUGGCAGGUUGUGCAUCUCAGAAAACCGGAUCGAAGCUUCGGCUUGAACUCGGAGUCGCAAUUCAUCUGAAAUCCAAAGUCAAUCUGAUCAACUGGC
rnacentral:lncRNA from 1 species